rnacentral:lncRNA from 1 species
UUUAAAAGCAGUUUUCUUUAUUUGCUUUGUUUUGUUCAAAAUGAUAUCUGGUGCUCUUUUCUUCAUCUACAUUUCCUGGGCAAAGUCAGAAUACUGAAUAUCUUGAAAGAAAGAAAGGGAUGCCAGCAGACAGAUUGCCAAUCUUCUCCGUGUCUUUCAGACAUGUACUGUUUUCUUCUAGGCCCACCAAAGAAGAUUCCUUUUGAAGAUGAUCAAGGAGACAAAGGGAGAGAGAGCUUAAAUUUAGAUGUGGAAUACAGCAACUGAAGUACUCUCUUGGUCAGAUAUAGGAGUUGUCAUAAUUCAAUCCGGUAUCUCUGGCGCGUGGCCCUCAUUUGUACACACGGGGAAGGACUCCACAUCACCAACUUCACAAGUUCCAGAUUUUUCGGUGGAUCAGAAUCUGACACCAAAUCCUGAUGUAACAUGGAACAGUGUAAUGGCCACCAAAACUGUGAAGAGCAGGUGGCUGGACCAGGAGGUAAAGAGGAUGCAGGGGGUCGUCUGGAAGAUAAGCAAAGGCAUUGUUCAAGGCCUCUGAGUGUAAACAUUUACAGGAGAGUGCUGAAGCCGGGGACAGCCAGUUAAUCUGUGCCUCUGCGCUUCCUCUGAGUUUGUUUUUCAGACAGGUAAAGGGAGAGCUGUCUGAGGUCUCUUGCAGUGUUGAGGAACCCAGGUUGUGUAAAUACAGACAAGUUAUUUGUCUGUGCCUCGGUCUCCUCAUCUGGGUGUCAUGACAGGGCCCCGUCCGUUCCCUGGGAGGGUUCAGAGCCACAGAAAGUGCAAAGCACUUAGUACAGCACCUCACACAUCAUGUUGCUGUUAGUCACCC